ACAGGUCAAAGUGAAGGAGAGAGCGUGUUCUACGGAAGCCGCGAGGAUUCAAACUGCAGGCGGAUGAUGAUGCGCAGCUUACGCGUUUUUCGGCGUGAGGAAUCCCGGACGAAGACGAGACUGCUGUGAUGUCUGAUAGAAUACAUGGAGGAGGAAGAGAGAGAUGUGAAGUGUGCUCUUCAGGCUGAAGAGAGAGAGGAUGCACAGCCGGCCAACACACGAGCUGGACUGCAACCUGACAAAACCUCAAAAGCUAAAGAAAAUGCAGAUGCACAAGUGCUUCCAUCAGUCAUUCCAGCCCCAGAAACUGUAGCAGCCAAUCAGAAGCCCUCUACAGUCCCGGAACAAGCGGACAACUUAGUUAUACUUGACCAAAAUGGACAUCCUAUUCAGUAUGAGCAGGUGGUGAUCGUGAAAGGGGAGAAUGGACAGCUGUACGGUGUCCCAUCUGUGUCUAUAGGGGGCUCUCAGAUGUUACUACCUCAUGGUCAGCUGUUGAAUGUAGUAAACUCAUCAGGUAUCUUUUUGGAGAAAAGACAGCAGACAACCAUCACAUCCAUAAAAGACAAUGAUGGCACUCAUACUUUAUCUGCACUAGCGCCUCAGAAUGUCACUGGUAUUAAAAUUCAGAAAAAAAGUUCUCCUGAUAUAUUUGAGCCCCCAGUGAAGCCACUGCCACCAGGGGCACCAAACUGGGCUCUAAGAUUGCGUGGAUGUGAGAAGAUCGGAGACUCGUACCGGGGUUACUGUAACACAGAGGCAGAGCUGGAGGCCGUUCUGCUUCUACACAAGCAGCAGACUCACGCUGUGUUUGGCACCCGUCAAUCACCCUCACCGGCUAAACCAGCCACCAGACUCAUGUGGAAAUCACAGUAUGUGCCCUACGAUGGCGUUCCCUUUGUUAAUGCAGGAAGCCGAGCCAUUGUGAUGGAAUGCCAGUUUGGUCCACGGAGGAAGGGCGUUCAACCAAAAAAAGGGUCUGAACAAGAAACAAAUCAAAACAUCUUCUACAAAGCAACCUGCCCUGCCAGAAUAUAUAUCAAAAAAGUUCGAAAGUUCCUGGAGUACAAGGUUCCAACAGAUCCCAAAGUGGACAAGAAGGUAGUGCGGCAAGAGCAGGAGAAAGCCUUCUUCAACCUCAAGAAAAGUUUAUGGGAUGUUGGAGGCGUUGUAAGGUAUUACAUCCAGCUCCCUACUGAGAAAGCCCACCUGUACCAUGACGUGGACACUGCAAACCUACCUCCACUUCCGGAGCAGAUCUGCUUUGCAGAGGAAGAGCAAAAUGAAGAGGAAGAGACAGAGGAGCUAGGCAGUGAAUCCAUGCAGGAUGUCAUGAUGGAGGAUGGGGCGUCCUUACCCUCUCGACUACACCCACUCGUGGCGGAGAAGAUCUGCGAGUUGGUGGCACAAGGUCAUAGCCAGGUUUACACCGUCCGCAAGCAGCUCAGGUAUGACUCAGAUGGUUUCAAUUCUCCUUUGUUUCAUUUGCUGAAAAACUAUUUACUGUUGCUUUCUGAACACCCUGACAGGAGGUUUGUGGAACAUGAGAUGUUCGGGUCGGAGGAAGUGCCAGAGAGACACAAUCUGUGUUACUUUCCCACUGUCAAUGACAUCAAGAACCACAUCCAUGAGGCUCAGAAAGCUCUUCAGCUGACAGCAGGACCACUCGCUACCUCAGAUACAGAGUGGAAAGCAGAGGCUAAUAACCUGCUUCCAGAGACUUUGACCUUGACCCUGACUCCUGCUACUGUGGACGUGUCCUCUCAGAAGGAAGGACUCUUGGAAGAGAGUGACACUCUUUCUCCAGAGGCUGUGCAGCUCUUCAGCUCUCUCACCUCACUGCAGCCCAAGAUCUUUGCACAUCUCCAGGCAAUCCAGCUACAGCCAGCCUUGUGUCCAGUUGAAGACUCUGCCCAACCUACAACAACACCACCAGAAGCCCAAGAGCUGUCCAGUCCUGCACCUCCACAGCCUGUUCUGCUGAGUCCGUCCCAGUUCCUCCAGUCGAGUGGCAGUGGUGGUGAAAGCAUAUCUCUGUGUGACCCCCCGACCCUGCUCGGCAUGAGUCAGCUGGUGAGUGUGACUAACGUCGGAGCUGAAGGUGGCAUCACACAGAUCCUGCUGGAGGACGGACAGGCCAUUCCAGUCCAGAUUGUGGACCCUUCAAGCAUAGCUUUGACUUCCCCAGCAGAUGACACUUCAGUUAAAUAGGACAUUGGGAAAUCUAUGGAUGUGUCAGCAGAGCCAGACAGAGGCUGGAAAUACAACAAUGACAAAAGAAAAGAAACGGCCUUGUCUGUGACAGAACAGCGUUUGACGAUUGAGCUCUUAGAUCAAUGGAGGACUGAUUCAUUGUAUCAAGAACAUCAGGUCAAUCUGCUGCUGUCCAGAAUCAGGUGGUCUGUCUUCGUCUGGCAUCUCCGCUGAGACCUGUCCACUAUGGGUGACCCUACCAGUAGUUGUGAAGUACCAGUGGCGUAGCUCUCAGCAUCACUGAUGCACACAAGCCCUCACAGCACGUCAAGCUGCAAACCGUGUGAGGGACCCUAACCUACCCUAACCGCAUAUCAACCAGCCACUCAAAACGUCCUAACAACCAUAGAGCAACGCACGAAAAACCUCUCAGAAGAGUCCAGCAACCGCAAAGAAACACACUAACAACCGCACAAAAAACCUUGUCAACACACAGGAAACCACCCAAAACAUCCCAACAACCUCGUAGCAAAAACACUUAGAACAUCCUGGGAACCGAAUAUCAAUGCACCAACAAUCACCAAAAACAUCCUAACAACCAGACAGCAAUGUGCAAAAGACUUACUCCAGAAAAUAAAACUUACUAUAUAAAAUAAAACUUAUUAUAGAAAAUGAAACUUACUAUAUAAAACUAUAAACUUACUCUCUGACUAUAUACAGUAUUUACAUGCGUCAGUCCCGCUGUGUGAUCCUCUGGCUCCAUGUGACGCUGUGAUGACUCAGUAUCUGGGCUUCUUUCUUCGGGGUUCCUCAGGCAGGGGCUCUUCACUGAUGUCCACGUGGAUUCGAGGAGCAAAGCUUCUGCUGGUUGUGAAGAAGCUCUCAGUGAUCAGGACACGUCCAUCAGGCUGCUCCGUCUCCACCAGUGAAGGGCGCUUGAGUGUCUCCCACAGCCGCUGCUUGAUCUUCAGUCCCAGCUCAAGACUAGGGACGGCGGCGACCGCAGCGUGUCUUCAUCAUGGGCUCCACCACAGAGCUGUAGAUGUCCUGGUAGUCCUGCACGCUGCAGCCGUGGAUGGAGACCGGCUCUUCUUGCUGACACACGUCCACUGAAGACACUGAGGCUGCUGGACGGAUGUCAGGAAGGACAGCAGCGUUCUUCAGGUAGCGCUCCUCCAAACCUGUGGGUCUUUGAGCUUUCCCAGAGAUACAGCUGUAAGUGUGAUCCAACCUGAUUACAGCUGCCAGCUGUGAAAGCUCACAGGGGUCUGGACUGGAAGAGACGCCCUCCACCAAGAAUCCCCUCAGGUGUGUGGGAAGAGCCCUGGAUCUUCUCGGGCGACGCUGCUCCAUAAAGAUGAAUCAAGAAUAACUUUGAUGAAAUGUUUGAAGUUGUAUAGAUGUGAUGAGCUUGUAGCUUCAAGGCUUCAGAUACAGUUGUUUUGAUUUCAAAUAUCAACUCAAGCUGCUGGACUGACAGAGAAUGUUGAGGCUCAUUUAAAUGUAAACAACACUUGAUAUCAUCAGUAAGUCCAUUAGAGCAGCUGUACUGUAUGCUUCUAUAUUAUCAUUAUCAUCUUCAUUCACAGUUUAUAUAUGCAUGUAUAUAUAUAUAUAUAUAUAUAUAUAUAUAUAUAUAUAUAUAUAUAUAUAUUCCUCAUCUUUGUGUGCAUGUAGUGGUGUCUGUUAAGGCCAGCAUCAUAAUUAGGAACUGCUCUAUAUUAGUGGUUCAUGAAUGAAUUUGUGUGUUGAAUGAAUCUUAAGUGAACGAAUCAUUCUUGCACUGACUCGUAUCUUUUGUUCAUUGAAGUCUCCUCUUUUUGAAGUGCUCAUCUGCUUAACAAGCCGGUAGUAUUGGAGAGCGGCCUGUGUAAAUCUUGUUGGUGAAUGAAUAUUCAGAUGAACAUACAUAUUUUUGUUUACAUUUUUAUUUAUUCUUGCCUUUUUUUCUAGCUUGUUAAAUGUCCAGUAGCUGACCAAAUAAAGCAAAAACAACAGAUCUGCUCAAAUUAUCAAAUUAAUUCUGUUUUUAACCCGUGUCUUGAUUUUGUAAUUGAAGACACCAAAGACAAAAAGAAACUUGAAGUUGUGAACAAGAAACAUUGAGCAGGUGAAAAGAAGAACGCAAAGACACAUUGUAUGUUUUGGCAAAAUGUAUAGUCAUUGUCAAUCUAAUGCCAUUUGACUUGAUUUUUCUAUCUCAAAAUAAAAUCAACAAAUUAA